rnacentral:misc_RNA from 1 species
GGCUCUACAUUUUCAUACUCGAGAAAGAAAGGGCUUGUUUCCUUUAUAUUACAGUCUAUUGUAGAACACUAACCAAUUUCUAAUACAUAAAAAUGCAGAGCCUAAGAGGGCGCAAUUGAUGGACAACACGUGAAUAUUCCAGUACAACCCUUUGUUGGUCCCAAGGGACUGAGGAGGCUAGGUUAGCUGAAAGAUAUUUAUCAGCAAAGGGGACAACGGGUCGAAGAAAUUGAUCAUAUAACAAUAAGUGCAACAAUUGGCAGACCCCCUAGGACAUCAGAACUCUUCACUAUUACUACAAUAUUAUCACUAGUUAAAAUACUAUAGGGAAUAAAAAAUCUAUUUUGAGGUUCAAUCUUGCAUUAUUCAGUUGGAGAGUCGGAUUUGUGCAAUUGAUAAAUCAGAGUAGACUUGAUUAUUCAGCUGGAGAGUCAGACCGGAUUCUCUCGUACAAUUGAUAAAUCAAAGUUGACUUGGACAUCUGGGGUUCUCUUUCCAGCGCUGCAAUUACAUCCUUAACAGAGAUAGAGUGAGCAACCCUGACCUGAGGCACACUUUGGUUCCUUCCAAUUUUCCUAACAGCCCUUGAUGCAAAUGCCGAGCUCCUUUUUUCUGGUUCUUGAUUAUCCUUUAUAUUUCUUCCAGUUGUUGACAGAGACUUUUCUUUAGAUGACUGGGAACUGGAUGUUGCUUCCGUCCCACCUUCACGNNCGUCCUUCCUCAGCCAUGAGUUGCCAUUUUGACAGCAUGUCAUCUCCACCAACAGCGGCUCGAGCAGCAACAUUUGCAGCUGUUGUCCUCAUUUUGUCAUCCUCC